rnacentral:rRNA from 1 species
GAUGAACGCUGGCGGCGUGCCUAAUACAUGCAAGUCGAGCGAACGGACGAGAAGCUUGCUUCUCUGAUGUUAGCGGCGGACGGGUGAGUAACACGUGGAUAACCUACCUAUAAGACUGGGAUAACUUCGGGAAACCGUAGCUAAUACCGGAUAAUAUUUUGAACCGCAUGGUUCAAAAGUGAAAGACGGUUUUGCUGUCACUUAUAGAUGGAUCCGCGCUGCAUUAGCUAGUUGGUAAGGUAACGGCUUACCAAGGCAACGAUGCGUAGCCGACCUGAGAGGGUGAUCGGCCACACUGGAACUGAGACACGGUCCAGACUCCUACGGGAGGCAGCAGUAGGGAAUCUUCCGCAAUGGGCGAAAGCCUGACGGAGCAACGCCGCGUGAGUGAUGAAGGUCUUCGGAUCGUAAAACUCUGUUAUUAGGGAAGAACAUAUGUGUAAGUAACUGUGCACAUCUUGACUGUACCUAAUCAGAAAGCCACGGCUAACUACGUG